UGCAAGUCGAACGGUAGAGGGGGCAACCCCUCGAGAGUGGCGAACGGCUGAGUAAUAUAUCGGAACGUGCCCAGUCGUGGGGGAUAACGUAGCGAAAGUUACGCUAAUACCGCAUACGAUCUACGGAUGAAAGCGGGGGAUCGCAAGGCCUCGCGCGAUUGGAGCGGCCGAUAUCAGAUUAGGUAGUUGGUGGGGUAAAGGCUCACCAAGCCAACGAUCUGUAGCUGGUCUGAGAGGACGACCAGCCACACUGGAACUGAGACACGGUCCAGACUCCUACGGGAGGCAGCAGUGGGGAAUUUUGGACAAUGGACGCAAGUCUGAUCCAGCCAUUCCGCGUGCAGGAUGAAGGCCCUCGGGUUGUAAACUGCUUUUGUACGGAACGAAAAGGUUUCUAUUAAUACUAGGAGCUCAUGACGGUACCGUAAGAAUAAGCACCGGCUAACUACGUGCCAGCAGCCGCGGUAAUACGUAGGGUGCGAGCGUUAAUCGGAAUUACUGGGCGUAAAGCGUGCGCAGGCGGUUAUAUAAGACAGAUGUGAAAUCCCCGGGCUCAACCUGGGACCUGCAUUUGUGACUGUAUAGCUAGAGUACGGUAGAGGGGGAUGGAAUUCCGCGUGUAGCAGUGAAAUGCGUAGAUAUGCGGAGGAACACCGAUGGCGAAGGCAAUCCCCUGGACCUGUACUGACGCUCAUGCACGAAAGCGUGGGGAGCAGACAGGAUUAGAUACCCUGGUAGUCCACGCCCUAAACGACGU
rnacentral:rRNA from 1 species